CCAGAUGAUACACCGAAAUUGGCGCCACUCGCUCAUUUGGUGUUAUUCUGAAGGUUCUGUUAUUCUAAGAGUAUAUACUAAAAUAUCAAUAAUAUAA